rnacentral:rRNA from 1 species
AUGAGACUGGCCGCUGUCAUCCCGCAAAUCAUAUCCCCUGCACAAUCAGCUUUCCAAAAGGGAAAAUGCAUUCACGACAGUUAUCUCUACGUCCAAGGAUGCGUAAAAUCUCUCCACAGAAGAAACAAGCCUGCUCUGCUCUUCAAAUUAGACAUAGAGAAAGCGUUCGACUCCAUCUCUUGGGAUUACCUUCUCGAGCUGCUACAGCGUUUAGGCUUCCCUGCAAGAUGGAGAGACUGGAUCUCCAUACUUCUCUCCACGGCGACAUCCUCUUGUCUGUUAAACGGCGAUGCAGGGCAAGCCAUAGUACACUUGCAGGGUUUGAGACAAGGCGAUCCGCUCUCCCCU